rnacentral:misc_RNA from 1 species
GGGUUCUAACACAGAUUGUAUUGCAAGUGAUUUCAAAUGGAAAAUUAUCACCUUUAGCUCGCAAUAUUGCUUCAGUAGGAAAGGGUACUGCUAAAAACCUGAUGGUUGCAGAAACUGUUGAAGGUUAUGCUUCUCUACUUGAGAAAGUUAUCAGGCUUCCAUCAGAAGUUGCUCUUCCUAAAGCUUUUGUGCAAAUUCCUGCCAAAUUGAAAGAAGAAUGGUGCUGGCAUCGAUUUGGAGCAUUUCUAAAUUUGACAUAUGAAGAC